rnacentral:rRNA from 1 species
GACGAACGCUGGCGGCGUGCUUAACACAUGCAAGUCGAACGGUAAGGCCCUUCGGGGUACACGAGUGGCGAACGGGUGAGUAACACGUGGGUGAUCUGCCCUGCACUUCGGGAUAAGCCUGGGAAACUGGGUCUAAUACCGGAUAGGACCAAUGCCUGCAUGGGUGGUGGUGGAAAGCUUUUACGGUGUGGGAUUGGCCCGCGGCCUAUCAGGUUGUUGGUGGGGUGAUGGCCUACCAAGGCGACGGCGGGUAGCCGGCCUGAGGGGGGGACCGGCCACAGUGGGAGGGAGAUACUGCCCAGAGUGCUACGGGAGGCAGCAGUGGGGAAUAUUGCACAAGGGGCGCAAGCCUGAUGCAGCGACGCCGCGUGAGGGAUGACGACCUUCGGGUUGUAAACCUCGUUAAGCACCGACGAAGCGCAAGUGACGGUAGGUGCAGAAGAAGGACCGGCCAACUACGUGCCAGCCGCCGCAGUAA